GAUGAACGCUAGCGGCAGGCUUAACACAUGCAAGUCGAGGGGUAUAGUUCUUCGGAGCUAGAGACCGGCGCACGGGUGCGUAACGCGUAUGCAAUCUACCUUUUGCAGAGGGAUAGCCCAGAGAAAUUUGGAUUAAUACCUCAUGGUAUGUGAGAAUGGCAUCAUUUUCACAUUAAAGUCACAACGGCAAAAGAUGAGCAUGCGUCCCAUUAGCUAGUUGGUAAGGUAACGGCUUACCAAGGCAACGAUGGGUGGGGGUCCUGAGAGGGAGAUCCCCCACACUGGUACUGAGACACGGACCAGACUCCGACGGGAGGCAGCAGUGAGGAAUACUGGACAAUGGGCGCAAGCCUGAUCCAGCCAUGCCGCGUGCAGGAUGACGGUCCUAUGGAUUGUAAACUGCUUUUGUACAGGAAGAAACACUGGUUCGUGAACCAGCUUGACGGUACUGUAAGAAUAAGGAUCGGCUAACUCCGUGCCAGCCGCCGCAGUAAUAC
rnacentral:rRNA from 1 species